rnacentral:autocatalytically_spliced_intron from 1 species
CUUGCAAGUUUAUAGAAUUGGUCAGACCUCAUAUUUUGCCUUCAUUGCUGUAUAAAAUUGGAAUAGCCCCGUAGAGACUACACGCUAGCUCCCGUAACAGCGGGAUGAAGAUAUAGUCCAUGCCAACAGAAAUGUUUGG